GGAGGAAAGUAGGGGAUCGCAAGACCUUGCGCUUUUGGAGUGGCCGAUGCCUGAUUAGCUAGUUGGUGGGGUAAGAGCCUACCAAGGCGACGAUCAGUAGUUGGUCUGAGAGGACGACCAGCCACACUGGGACUGAGACACGGCCCAGACUCCUACGGGAGGCAGCAGUGGGGAAUUUUGGACAAUGGGCGAAAGCCUGAUCCAGCAAUGCCGCGUGAGUGAAGAAGGCCUUCGGGUUGUAAAGCUCUUUCAGUCGAGAAGAAAAGGUCGCGACUAAUAAUCGCGACUCAUGACGGUAUCGACAGAAGAAGCACCGGCUAACUACGUGCCAGCAGCCGCGGUAAUACGUAGGGUGCGAGCGUUAAUCGGAAUUACUGGGCGUAAAGGGUGCGCAGGCGGCUUUGUAAGUCAGAUGUGAAAUCCCCGGGCUUAACCUGGGAAUUGCGUUUGAAACUACAAGGCUAGA
rnacentral:rRNA from 1 species